UUUAUUUUACAGAUAUUUAUUUUCAUAUCACAAUAGUUUAUUAAAAAGUACAACAACACCAAACUAACCCUUAAUACUUUGUGGUGUAGAAUUGUCCGUAUUUUUAAGAUUCAGGGUUUAGCUAUAAGACUCAAAUUCAGGAGCGAAACCUAAACCUCAAGCAAUGAUUAAGUUUGAAAUAGUGCCCAUUUACCCUACCAUGCAAAUGAACAUCAGCAAUUUCUCCACCUGCAACAAUCAUUAGGGUUUGGGUUUUAGCAUUAACAUCUCAGGUGCAGUUUAGAGUAGACAUUAAACUGAAUGAUGUGAAUUAAAUUAGUGACACAUAAUAAUAAAAUAGAUGGUGUUAUCCGCAUAUCUAUUUUCACAUCUCAUAUGUCUUUCUUAAUUUUUGAUUAAAUGAAAACAGUUAAGGGACAAAACCUAUCAAGACAAUGCAAGAAAUAAAAUAAAAAAUGUAAAUAACACUACCCUAAUAUAAUAUGAACUUAGUUGAAGCAGCUUUAGCUUUUGUAUAACUACCGCUUGGGAUUCCAAAGAUCUGCAGAAAAAUAACAUGAUAUGAUUUGACAUGGAAUUGACGACCCACCUAAAGACUAAAAGAGGAUACCUAUGACCCAAUUUUAACCUUUAGUUUUCUUUGUAUGAAUGGACCCACACGCUUAAACAAAGUUGGCAUCCAUAAUUUUUUUGGGGUUUCAUGCCGACAGGUAUUAGCCGUUACGACCCCACUAAUGGUGACUUAGCAUUUCUUGGCCUAAUUAAUCAAUGUCUCUGAACUGUGAAGUGAUCAAAUUCAAACUCGAUCCAGGCAAUUCAGGCUAAAUUCGUUGAUGUAACUCCUAAUUAUAUGAGCAUUAUGUUAUUACGAUUUUGGUUUACAUAUAAUGAAUCAGAUAUUGUUUUUAUGACAUUUUUUUUAUAGCAGUCACAUUUGGACAGCAACGUUAAUUUUGUGUACUUUGAGUGUAGCAAAUUUAACAAGAAUUAAUUAACUCAGAUUGUGUGCUAGAGCUUCCUAAGCAGUCAAUUUCGUGAGAUACAAGGAUGAAUCUAUAAAUUCUUUUUGCAUGUAUGAGAAAAGUGGGAGUCAGAAAAAUGAACUAGGUGUGUUAACAAGGUAUAUAUUUGUAGUUUCCUUCUUUUUGCCUUUUAACAAACACAUAAUUCCGUAACUGUCAAAAAAAAAUUCGUUAGUUCUUUACGAAGCCUUAGAAUUACGAAGCUUUAGAAUCACGUUGAUGCAUUUGCCUGCAAUAUUUUACCAUGAUUCUCUACUUCACAGUUAGUUGCUUUCCCCCUCUCAAGUGUACAAUAGAUUACCACUUUUAAAAGAGACAACCUUAGCUCUUUAUAUAUGUUAUUGUCUAGAUUAUUUGCGGGAAAAUGCUAACAAUUUUUUUCCUUCUUACUUACCUCUCUUUAAUUAUGUUCGUGUUUUUGUUUAAUUUUUUCAAUUCGAUGAGCAAAAUUAAAGAUGCAUGUGUAGAAAGAGAAUAUUGAUGAAAUUUGGGUUAAACAUUCAUGCAUAAACAUGUCCUGUUAUGUCAAAUUAUUAACGACAUAUAUAUUCAAAAAGUGCAAUUAAACGCUCUAGAGAAAAUUUUUAAUAUUUUGUUGCAAACAAACCAUUCAAUAAUAAUAUUAUUUUGUAGGCCUAUUUGACUUAACUGUAUUUAGGACUAGAGAGGGAGAGAGGCCGGCGGCAAGAGAGAGAUUUAAUUGUGAGGUGUGUGUUGUAUCACCACAUUGUGCCUUUUUUUUAUAGUAGAAGGAUGGUUAAAUCCUUACCCUAAUAGAAUUACAACUCUAAUAGAAUAAUAUAUACUAAGGAGAAUAUUCCAAGAUAUCUCUAGAUACACUAGGAUUUACACAAUCAUAUUUCUAUUUUAAAUAUGACUGCAACACUCCCCUUGAGUGUGGAAAUACUCAAACAAAACAUUGCAUCAGAUAUUCAGCAGUUGAGGCAGAACAAUUAAUGAAGUCGGCGGCACAACGAGGCGAAUGCGAGUCUCAAAUAUAAAGAAAGUAUGCAUUGGUAGUAAAACUCACAAAACCUCGCUAUGGUAAAACCUAAGGAUGUGAAAACCCAUAGGCUAAGGAGAAAAGUGAGAAGUAUGCAUAAUGUCUAAAACAAAAGUCAAAUGGGACAAAAGUAGUGAACUCAACGGAGUAUGAUCAUCCCAGGAUGAGUGCCUCAUCAAAACCUCGUUAGGUAGCAAAAACCCAAUGGGAAAAAUGCUCCUAAUUAUAGGAAAAAGAGUACAUGAAGAUCAAGUGAGUAUGCUUUAGGAUACUCCCCCUAAGUUAGACAUAACUUCCAAAUAAGAGAACUACAAGCAAUUCAACUAAGAUAAUUUACGCAUAUCGAUUCAUUGGACAAGCUUCUAAAAAGUAGACUUGGGCAAUAACUUGGUAAAGAGAUCGGCCAGAUUGUCCUGGGAACAGAUUUGCUUGACUUCAAUGUUCUGAUGUUGUUGUUGCUGGUGAGAAUAAAAGAACUUUGGCGCUAUGUGCUUGGUGUUGUCUCGCUUCUUUAAUUGCUCGAUACAUGCUGCAUUGUUUUCAAAGAUCGUCAUAGGAAGGUCAACGACGGUAGUAAGACCACUAGUGCUUCGAAUAUGUUCUAUGACUACUAUCAACCAAAAGCACUCACACGAUGCUUCAUGCAGGGCGAGGAUCUCAGCAUGGUUCAAAGAAGUUGUAACUAGCGUUUGCUUGGUAGACCUCCAAGAUAUAGCGGUGUCUCCAACAAUAAAGACAUAGCUCGUUUGAUAACGUGUCCUAUGUGGAUCAGGCUGAUAACCAGCACCUACGUAACCAACAAGGCGGGAAUCCACCCGAGGACCGAAGGUGCGGUGGCUUAUCUCGAGGAUUCGUGGGUGUAGAACAAACCCAAAUUCGUCGUACACUUGAGGUAGAGGAAAAUAUCUUUACCAUUCCAGUGUCUAUGUGUAGGCGCAUUGCUGUAUCCAGCCAAAAGAUUAACAGUGAAGGAGAUGUCAUGUUUAGUGCAUUGAGCCAAGUACAAUAAAGCACCAAUUGCACUUAGGUAUGAAACUUUAGACUCCAACUCUCUUCAUCCUCCUCCUUGGAAUGGAAAAGAUCUCGUUUAAUAUUUAGAGUCCGAACGACCAUAUGAGUACUCGAAGGCUUUGCUUUAUCUUUAUUAAAACAUUGCAACACCUUUUGGGUGUAAUUUGAUUGAUGUACUAGGAUUCCAUCUUAACAAUGCUAGAUCUCCAAGCCAAGACAAUAUCGAGUUUUCCCAAGAUCUUUCAUCUCAAAUUUUGAUUUCAAGUGAACAGCAAUUUCCUCAAGCUUUGUGGGAGUUCCGAUGAGGUUCAUGUCGUUGACAUAAACUGCAACAAUCGUAAAUCAGAAUGUGACUUCUUUAUGAAAGCACAUAGGCAUAGUUCGUUGUUCACAUAAACCUGACUUGUCAAAUAUUCACUAAGAAGGUUAUACCAUAUCCGCCCGAAUUGUUUCAAUCCACAUAGUGAUCUCCUCAAUCUAAUAGAGAGAGUGUUCCAUGGUCUAUAACUGUUUGAACCAGUGAAUGGAAGUCAUUCUGUAACUUUCAUGUAGAUUUUCGUAUCUAGAUCUCCAUAUAGAUACGUGGUUACCACGUCCAUAAGCUGCAUAUUCAGUUUUUCGAAAACUACCAAACUGAUAAGGUUGCGAAACGUUAUGUGUCCAUUAUGGGGGAAUACAUCUCAUCGUAAUCAAUCUCAUGGCAUUGAGAGAAGCCUUGCGCUAUGAGGCGUGCUUUGUAUUGCAUUAUUUUAUUUUUCUCAUUACGCUUCCUUACGAAAACCCAUUUGUAGCCCACAUGCUUCACAUGUGAUAGAGUAGGAGCUACAGGCUUAAACACUUUACGUUUCACAAGCGAAUCGAGUUCGACUUGGAUUGCUUGUUUCCAGUUUGACCAAUCCGUUCUACGUCGGGAUUCAUCAACGGAACGUGUUCAAUAUCAUCGCUAAGCAUGAUGUCAGUAGCUACUGUGUACGCAAAUGCAUUGUUGACCCAAUACUGGGUAGUGUACCGAAUCUCGCAAUUCUCGAGAAGUCGGGUUAUCUUAUCUAAGACAUUACGGUAAUCUAGAAUAACCUUAUGCGUUGGAACAGAUGAGUGAGCAAUGGUUGGAUUCAAACAAGGGUCACUACUAUGUGCCGUUUUCCUCUUCCGGGGUUGUGAAUUCUUUGAACCAGGGGGUCUGCCACGCUUCAGGGUAGAAAUAGAUGAUUGGUUAGCCGCCAAUGUACCAGUCCACGUGGAAGGUGCGGCCGCUCUACCUUCCUGAUGGUUCAGCCUUUCCAGGCGGUAUUACGGCGUACUCUAGGUACAUUGAUCCGUGCAGAUACGUUUGCAGUGGGUAUUUGUGAUCUCAUCACCUUUGCUAGAUCCGUAAAAGCAUCCGGCAUGCUUUGAGCAAUGCCUUGAAAAUCUAGAAUACGUCGCACUAAUCAGAGUGGUGAGCCCUAAGCUUAAUAAUUUAUGCUAAGAGUUUAGCAAAUGCAACAUUGCAUGUGGACAAUAAACAUACAUGUGAUGUCACGCCCCGAUCCCGACAUACGUCCAGGAUCGACAUGUGACGUCACCAAGCAUCCGUAUAUCCAAUAAACCCCAUCUCUGGGAUAUGUUCAAAACAUAAUUCAAGGUACGAAUUGCAUAGAAAUUUUUGUAUACUUUAUGGAUGCAUCUAACCUCAUUGUUAGACUACCUACAUACCCUAAAAAGGGAUCAAGCCAUUCAUAGUUCACCAUUCACUACAAUUCGACAUAUAUCACAGUCCGUUCAAACCGAAAGGCAUAACAUUCCUUAAUUAGUCAUUAGAACUUGACAAGCAUGAAAUUACUAGACUAAGGGCUACAUAACAAACCCACAUGGCAAUCAAGAUUUCCAAUUCAUCUUUCAUAUAAAUCACUAUGUUUUACUUAAUACCGCAAUUCAUAGUAUGCAACAUCUCAAAUAACAGUCAACGAAGCACAAUGUUAUUCACUAGCCACAUUGGUCAACGAGUCUAAUUAUAAUAAUAACAAUCAUAUCCAACAUCAUUCCACAAUCACUUCAAUUAAUCAGUCCUAAGGAUCAGAAAUGCAUUAUAUUAACAUUUAACUACAUUAAUCAAUCAAUAAGAUUGCAUUUCACUACACGAAAUAUAAUAAAGGAAUUCUACAUAAUCCCCUACCUGGAUUCCAAGUAAUAACAUGAUAAUUCUAAUUUAUAAACAUAACAUUUACUGUGAGCAAUUCAUAAUCACUCAAAUCUAGGGUCAGACUAACUUUAUGGAAAUGAGCAAGAGUAGGGAGUCUGGACCACUCAACGGAAUCCAACCAAAAUAUGAUCGCCUACCGAAAUGUACCAAGUACAACUAAUCCUCAUCAACCCUAGAAUGCGUAUGGUCCCCUAUUGCGGAUAUACCAAGCAGAACCAUAGGCAUAAUCUCAUCAUGUAGGCAGUGAUCACCCAUCGCAGAUAUACCAAGCAUGAUCACCCCUAAAUACGUAUGGUCCCCCAUCGUGGAUAUACCAAGCAGGACCACAUCCUAACUCUAGGUAGUGAUCAUCCAUCACGGAUAUACCAAUCAUGAUCACUCCUAGAAUGCAUAUGGUCCCCUAUCGCGGAUAUACCAAGCAAAACCAUAUGCAUAGUCUAAUAACGUAGGCAGUGAUCACCCAUCACGGGCAUACCAAGCAUUAUCACCCCUAACAGUCCCCCAUCGCAGUUAUACCAAGCAAAACUGUAUCAUGUAGCUCUAGGUAGUGAUCACCCAUCGCAGAUAUGCCAAGCAUGAUCACUCAUAGAAUACGUAUGGUCCCCCAUCGCGAAUAUACCAAGUAGAACCAUAAGCAUAGUCUAAUUGUGCAGGUGAUGAUCACUCAUCGCGGAUAUACCAAGCAUGAUCAUCCCUAAAAUACAUAUGGUCCCUCAUCGUGGAUAGACCAAGUAGGACCAUCCAUGUACCACUACUACAUGGUGCAGUAAAUUCAACACACAACCUACUCAUACCUCAACCUCUAUGAGUUACAACGUAGUCACAUACACCAUCAACUUCUCAUGGCCACUAACUAAUAUGUCAUACAAGCAUAUUAUACAUAAUACUUAGGAUCACAUUGUCAACAUUUAUCAUACUUAUCAUUCACAUUAUUAAAAGGAUAAAUAAACACACACACACACACACACACACACACACACACAUAUAUAUAUAUAUAUAUAUCACAAUAUGAUGUCUCAUACACGUAAACCGAUGUAUAUAUUAUAUGGGAUAACUUACUAAUCAAUAUAGGCCCACUAAGCCCUACAUAGUCUCUAGUAAUACUAAUUUUAAUAUCUAAGAUCAAUUCGUAGCAUAUUGACCACAAGUCAAGUCCAUUGGCCAUGUGCCGCCGCGAGUGGCGGUUUUCAACAAAUGGAAACCCUAAAUUCUGACCAACACUAAAAUUCACCAAAUUUUGUAUAAAUGUACAACUCAAGGAGAGGAACAUUUUUCAUACCUGGGCCGAAGCCUAGUUCGGCUGGGAAGUGGCCGAAAAAUCCCUCUAACCGUCGAAAACCCUCGAUUUGGUGGUUGUCGAUUUUACUCCAUUGAUGCUUCGACGCCCCCAAACUUGGUUAGGCUUUGUUCCUGGUCUCAAGAAGGUUUGAAUGAUGGUGGUAAUCGACGGUGGUGGCUUCAAAAAUGGUGGUCGUCGUCGUGGGUGUCCUUGAAGCCGUCAACUUCGAUCGUCAUGGAUUAGGCUAAAUGUCUUCAAUUUUUUAGUGGGGUAAAUAGAUGGAGGGUUAUGGAGUUGGUCAAGGUAGUGGCGACGGUCAAUUUUCCAGAAAAAUUGAUGAUUUCUCAUCAGAAAUUCACCCAGAAACCGGGUCGGGUCACAUGUUAAGGAAGGGGUCUGGUUCCCUCAUUCUCUUCCCCCUUUUUU
rnacentral:lncRNA from 1 species